AACGCUGGGCGGCGUGCCUAACACAUGCAAGUCGAGCGGAGUCGAUCGACGGAAGCCUUCGGGCGGAAGAUGGUUGACUUAGCGGCGGAUGGGUGAGUAACGCGUGGGCAACCUGCCUCGAAGACCGGGAUAACAGCCCGAAAGGGCUGCUAAUACCGGAUGUGGUCAAGGAUCCGCAUGGAUUUUUGAUUAAAGGGGAAACCCGUUUCGAGAUGGGCCCGCGUCCUAUCAGCUAGUUGGUGAGGUAAAAGCUCACCAAGGCGACGACGGGUAGCCGGCCUGAGAGGGUGACCGGCCACACUGGAACUGAGACACGGUCCAGACUCCUACGGGGGGCAGCAGUGGGGAAUCUUCCACAAUGGGCGAAAGCCUGAUGGAGCGACGCCGCGUGAGCGAAGAAGGCCUUCGGGUUGUAAAGCUCUGUCUGGAGGGACGAAGGAAGUGACGGUACCUCCGGAGGAAGCCACGGCUAACUACGUG
rnacentral:rRNA from 1 species